UUAGUAUUAGUUAUUUAUUUUUAUUAUUUUUAUUUUAUUUCGCUUGUUUUUGGUGUCCAAUAAUUUUAUUUUUCUUGAUUUAAGAAGAUAUUGAUUUGAGCAUGUCCGGAGUAAUUUUGGAUGUAAUUAAUAAAAAAAUUCCAUAAAUUAGCCUUAACUUAAGCAUGGGCAUGCUAAAUUUCAGAAAUUACCAUUAAAUUAGGCAUGCCCAUGCUUGUUUUUAGGCCUAGAAGGGUCAGUUUGAAUUUUCAAUGACUUUUGAGGUGAAAAGCAAUUUAUUUGUUUUAAACCCUAAUAAAUUUAAAUAAUUUCUUGUCCACUUUUCUUACCCCGUGCAGCCUUCCACCCCUCUCACUCUGGAUUCAUCUCAACCGGAUUGCGCUGUUCGGCUUCGGGCUGAGGCAGGCAAUUCGCAGGCAGCGCAGCCGGCGGUUCGAUCUGGCGGACAGCGGCACAGAGGAGGACGGGGCGGCGGCUGUGCAGGCGGCGACCAGUCAGUCAGAUCAGGGCGGCGGCCGGUCAGUCGGAUCAGGGCGGCCACGGCUGGUGGCUGUGCAGAGAAUUGCGGCGCGGAUGACUAAGAACAAGGGGAAAUCUCUGGCUCCGACUUCGAAGAAACCUUCACACACUCCCACUCAUCGAAUUCCGGUAGCGAGUGCACCAGCAAAAGGUGAUAUUUCAUCUCGUACUGGAAAAGGUAAAAUUGGUGUCUUGGUGCCGGAUAAUCAUUGCGGAGGUAAUCUUAGCUUUACUAAUUCUUGUGAUAAGGAUCGAUACUCCCGUGCUUCCAGUUGUCUAACCUCCGGAAAAGAACUAUUCAACCCGGUUGUCAUC